rnacentral:rRNA from 1 species
AACAACACAACUUGUUUUUUUUAGAUACAGUUAAUUUUAUAAUAAAUUUUAAUUUAAUAUUUAUUAGGUGAAAUUUUUAAUUUUUAAUAAAAAUUGUUUUUGUUAAUGAAGCUGGAAAAUUUUAUUUUUAAACUAGGAUUAGAUACCCUAUUAUUUAAAAUGUGAAUUUUUAUUCUAGAAUAUUAAUAGUUAUUUUCUUUAAAAUCAAAGAUUUUGGCGGUAUUUUAGUCUACUCAGAGGAACCUGUCCUGUAAUCGAUAAUCCACGAUUAGCUUUACUUUUUCUAAAAAUUUACAUAUCGUCGUAGUUUGAAUAUUUUAAUAGAAUAUUAAUGUUCAAAAUUUUUAUUAAAAAGAAAAUCAGAUCAAGGUGUAGUUAAUAAAAAAGAUAGAGAUGGGUUACAUUAGGUUUACUUUUUGAUUAUUAAUUUAAAAUUUUUAUGAAUUUGGAUUUGAAAGUAAUUUUAAUUAUAUAAUUAAAAUGAUUUAAGCUCUAAAAUAUGCACAUAUCGCCCGUCGCUUUCACUUUAAAGUGAAAUAAGUCGUAACAAAGUAGGCUUACUGGAAAGUGAGCCUAGUAAGACCAAGUUAGAGCUUGAUAUAAAGCGUUUUAUUUACAUUAAAAAGUUAUUUGUGAAAUUCAAUUUGACUUGAAUUUAUUUAAUUAUUUUUUUUGUUUAUUUAUUUUCUUUUAUAAUAAAAAUAUUAUUGUUUAUUAUUAGUUUAGAAAAACAUACUUCUUAUUAUAGAUAAUUUUGUACUGUGAAGGAAUUUAAUUAAAUUUUUAAAAGAAAAAUUAAUUUUGU